AAUUAAUAAUAAUAAACAAAAGAAACAAAAGUGGAAAGAAAGAGAAUUUUCUUCUUAUCUUCUUCCAGCGUUUCAUCACCAUUGAAGAGGGAGGAAAAAGCUUCAAAUAUUCCAAGCAUUCGACUUAUGCAUCUCAAGAGCAAAGGGGAGCUAAAUCCGAUAAAGGGAAGGAAAAAGUGGUCGAAUAGCCAUCGGAAUCAUUCGACAACAUCCGAGGAAAUCCCCAACUAUAGUGGGUUUGGAGCUGUGAGGGAAUUCAGAGUGGCCACCUAUUCUGAAAGUUUGGUUUUCUUCUGGUGAACUGGACAUCCUAUUAUUUACGUUAAGGUUUGGGUUUUUAAAUGUAAUAAGGCCGUUUAAUUAUUUUUGAUGGUUUUAAUAUGUGUUACUAAGAUAGGUAUUACUUA